CCUACGGGGGGCUGCAGUCGAGAAUCAUUCACAAUGGGGGAAACCCUGAUGGUGCGACGCCGCGUGGGGGAAUGAAGGUCUUCGGAUUGUAAACCCCUGUCAUGUGGGAGCAAAUUAAAAAGAUAGUACCACAAGAGGAAGAGACGGCUAACUCUGUGCCAGCAGCCGCGGUAAUAAAGAGGGCUCAAGCGUUGUUCGGAAUCACUGGGCGUAAAGCGUGCGUAGGCUGUUUCGUAAGUCGUGUGUGAAAGGCGCGGGCUCAACCCGCGGACGGCACAUGAUACUGCGAGACUAGAGUAAUGGAGGGGGAACCGGAAUUCUCGGUGUAGCAGGGAAAUGCGUAGAUAUCGAGAGGAACACUCGUGGCGAAGGCGGGUUACUGGACAUUAACUGACGCUGAGGCACGAAGGCCAGGGGAGCGAAAGGGAUUAGAUACCCCUGUAGUC
rnacentral:rRNA from 1 species